rnacentral:rRNA from 1 species
UCGGCGGAUGAGUUGUGAUUAGGGGUGAAAUGCCAAUCGAACUCGGAGCUAGCUGGAUCUCCCCGAAAUGCGUUGAGGCGCAGCGGUUAACGAUGGGCUGCCUAGGGGUAAAGCACUGUUUCGGUGCGGGCUGCGAGAGCGGUACCAAAUCGUAGCAAACUAAGAAUACUAGGCAUUGCUUUCCGUUAACCAGUGAGACAGUGGGGGAUAAGCUCCAUUGUCGAGAGGGAAACAGCCCAGAUCACCAGCUAAGGCCCCAAAAUGACCGCUAAGUGGUAAAGGAGGUGAGAAUGCUGAAACAACCAGGAGGUUUGCUUAGAAGCAGCCACCCUUUAAAGAGUGCGUAAUAGCUCACUGGUGGAGCGUUCUUGCGCCGAAAAUGAACGGGACUAAGCGGUCUGCCGAAGCUGUGGGUAACAUCAAAAAACAAAGAAAAGACUUAACAUCUGACAUCAGACACCUUUUCAAGGUGUGAAAAGAAGAUUUGCUUCUAACAUUCUUUCCCUAACAUCCCUUUAGGGAUGUCUGAAUGUCUGACACUUUUUCAAAGUGUUAAAGAAGUGAUGUCAAAUCAGACAUCAGUGACAAAAGGAAAGCUUUUGUUAGCCCAGACAAAACCUUCGGUUUUGUUAAGGGUGUUAAAAGAAGAUGUUAGAAUAACAAACUUUCAGUUUGUUAAAUGUCUGACAUCUAACAAAAUUGUAAAUGUUGAAAAGUUCAAUUUGAUGUUACGGUAGGGGAGCGUUCCGCUCUAGGGUGAAGCUCCAACGUAAGUUGGUGUGGACAAAGCGGAAGUGAGAAUGUCGGCUUGAGUAACGAAAACAUUGGUGAGAAUCCAAUGCCCCGAAAACCUAAGGCUUCCUCCACUAGGCUCGUCCAUGGGGGGUUAGUCGGGACCUAAGGCCAGGCCGAAAGGCGUAGUCGAUGGAAAACAGGUUAAUAUUCCUGUACUUCUUUUUAAGUGGUACCGAGGGACGAAGGAGGGAACGGUUGGUCAAUAUUGGAUGUUGACGGAAAUGUUCAAGGUGAUGAGAGAUAGAAUAAAAACUAUUCUUGAGCUGAGACAUGAUACGAUUUUAUUCCCUGUAAGAGAGCUUGCUCAAAUUCAAAGUAAAAUUCAAUUAGUUGUCAAACUUCCUAGAAAAGCUCGAACUUCCAAUACUUAAAAAUAACCCGUACCCGAAACCGACACAGGUAGGUAGGUAGAGUAUACCAAGGGGCGCGAGAUAACUCUCUCUAAGGAACUCGGCAAAAUGGCCCCGUAACUUCGGGAGAAGGGGUGCCCUCUGUAUGAAAAUAUAAGAGGGCCGCAGUGACCAGGCCCAGGCGACUGUUUACCAAAAACACAGGUCUCCGCUAAGUCGUAAGACAAUAUAUGGGGGCUGACGCCUGCCCAGUGCCGGAAGGUGAAGGAAGUUGGUUACGUCCCCAAAGGGGAUGGAAGCUGACAACCGAAGCCCCGGUGAACGGCGGCCGUAACUCUGACGGUCCUAAGGUAGCGAAAUUCCUUGUCAGGUAAGUUCUGACCCGCACGAAAGGUGUAACGAUCUGGGCACUGUCUCGGAGAGAGGCUCGGUGAAAUAGACAUGUCCGUGAAGAUGCGGACUACCUGCACCUGGACAGAAAGACCCUAUGAAGCUUUACUGUAGCCUGUAAUUGAAUUUGGGCUUUUCUUGCGCAGUCUAGGUGGGAGGCGUUGAAAGUUUCUUUCCGGAGAAACUGGAGCCAUCAGUGAGAGACCACUCUGGAGAAGCUAGAAUUCUAAUGGCGCUCCUUGAAUCAGGACGCUUGACAGUUUCAGGUGGGCAGUUUGACUGGGGCGGUCGUCUCCUAAAAGGUAACGGAGAUGUGCAAAGGUUCCCUCAGGCUGGACGGAAAUCAGCCGAAGAGUGUAAAGGCAGAAGGGAGCUUGACUGCAAGACCUACAAGUCGAGCAGGGCCGAAAGGCGGCCUUAGUGAUCCGACGGUACCGAGUGGAAGGGCCGUCGCUCAACGGAUAAAAGUUACUCUAGGGAUAACAGGCUGAUCUUCCCCAAGAGUUCACAUCGACGGGAAGGUUUGGCACCUCGAUGUCGGCUCAUCGCAACCUGGGGCGGUAGUACGUCCCAAGGGUUGGGCUGUUCGCCCAUGAAAGCGGUACGUGAGCUGGGUUCAGAACGUCGU